rnacentral:rRNA from 2 species
AGCGUACACGGUGGAUGCCCUGGCAGUCAGAGGCGAUGAAGGACGUGCUAAUCUGCGAUAAGCGUCGGUAAGGUGAUAUGAACCGUUAUAACCGGCGAUUUCCGAAUGGGGAAACCCAGUGUGAUUCGUCACACUAUCAUUAACUGAAUCCAUAGGUUAAUGAGGCGAACCGGGGGAACUGAAACAUCUAAGUACCCCGAGGAAAAGAAAUCAACCGAGAUUCCCCCAGUAGCGGCGAGCGAACGGGGAGCAGCCCAGAGCCUGAAUCAGUGUGUGUGUUAGUGGAAGCGUCUGGAAAGGCGCGCGAUACAGGGUGACAGCCCCGUACACAAAAAUGCACAUGCUGUGAGCUCGAUGAGUAGGGCGGGACACGUGGUAUCCUGUCUGAAUAUGGGGGGACCAUCCUCCAAGGCUAAAUACUCCUGACUGACCGAUAGUGAACCAGUACCGUGAGGGAAAGGCGAAAAGAACCCCGGCGAGGGGAGUGAAAAAGAACCUGAAACCGUGUACGUACAAGCAGUGGGAGCACGCUUAGGCGUGUGACUGCGUACCUUUUGUAUAAUGGGUCAGCGACUUAUAUUCUGUAGCAAGGUUAACCGAAUAGGGGAGCCGAAGGGAAACCGAGUCUUAACUGGGCGUUAAGUUGCAGGGUAUAGACCCGAAACCCGGUGAUCUAGCCAUGGGCAGGUUGAAGGUUGGGUAACACUAACUGGAGGACCGAACCGACUAAUGUUGAAAAAUUAGCGGAUGACUUGUGGCUGGGGGUGAAAGGCCAAUCAAACCGGGAGAUAGCUGGUUCUCCCCGAAAGCUAUUUAGGUAGCGCCUCGUGAAUUCAUCUCCGGGGGUAGAGCACUGUUUCGGCAAGGGGGUCAUCCCGACUUACCAACCCGAUGCAAACUGCGAAUACCGGAGAAUGUUAUCACGGGAGACACACGGCGGGUGCUAACGUCCGUCGUGAAGAGGGAAACAACCCAGACCGCCAGCUAAGGUCCCAAAGUCAUGGUUAAGUGGGAAACGAUGUGGGAAGGCCCAGACAGCCAGGAUGUUGGCUUAGAAGCAGCCAUCAUUUAAAGAAAGCGUAAUAGCUCACUGGUCGAGUCGGCCUGCGCGGAAGAUGUAACGGGGCUAAACCAUGCACCGAAGCUGCGGCAGCGACGCUUAUGCGUUGUUGGGUAGGGGAGCGUUCUGUAAGCCUGCGAAGGUGUGCUGUGAGGCAUGCUGGAGGUAUCAGAAGUGCGAAUGCUGACAUAAGUAACGAUAAAGCGGGUGAAAAGCCCGCUCGCCGGAAGACCAAGGGUUCCUGUCCAACGUUAAUCGGGGCAGGGUGAGUCGACCCCUAAGGCGAGGCCGAAAGGCGUAGUCGAUGGGAAACAGGUUAAUAUUCCUGUACUUGGUGUUACUGCGAAGGGGGGACGGAGAAGGCUAUGUUGGCCGGGCGACGGUUGUCCCGGUUUAAGCGUGUAGGCUGGUUUUCCAGGCAAAUCCGGAAAAUCAAGGCUGAGGCGUGAUGACGAGGCACUACGGUGCUGAAGCAACAAAUGCCCUGCUUCCAGGAAAAGCCUCUAAGCAUCAGGUAACAUCAAAUCGUACCCCAAACCGACACAGGUGGUCAGGUAGAGAAUACCAAGGCGCUUGAGAGAACUCGGGUGAAGGAACUAGGCAAAAUGGUGCCGUAACUUCGGGAGAAGGCACGCUGAUAUGUAGGUGAAGUCCCUCGCGGAUGGAGCUGAAAUCAGUCGAAGAUACCAGCUGGCUGCAACUGUUUAUUAAAAACACAGCACUGUGCAAACACGAAAGUGGACGUAUACGGUGUGACGCCUGCCCGGUGCCGGAAGGUUAAUUGAUGGGGUCAGCGCAAGCGAAGCUCUUGAUCGAAGCCCCGGUAAACGGCGGCCGUAACUAUAACGGUCCUAAGGUAGCGAAAUUCCUUGUCGGGUAAGUUCCGACCUGCACGAAUGGCGUAAUGAUGGCCAGGCUGUCUCCACCCGAGACUCAGUGAAAUUGAACUCGCUGUGAAGAUGCAGUGUACCCGCGGCAAGACGGAAAGACCCCGUGAACCUUUACUAUAGCUUGACACUGAACAUUGAGCCUUGAUGUGUAGGAUAGGUGGGAGGCUUUGAAGUGUGGACGCCAGUCUGCAUGGAGCCGACCUUGAAAUACCACCCUUUAAUGUUUGAUGUUCUAACGUGGACCCGUAAUCCGGGUUGCGGACAGUGUCUGGUGGGUAGUUUGACUGGGGCGGUCUCCUCCUAAAGAGUAACGGAGGAGCACGAAGGUUGGCUAAUCCUGGUCGGACAUCAGGAGGUUAGUGCAAUGGCAUAAGCCAGCUUGACUGCGAGCGUGACGGCGCGAGCAGGUGCGAAAGCAGGUCAUAGUGAUCCGGUGGUUCUGAAUGGAAGGGCCAUCGCUCAACGGAUAAAAGGUACUCCGGGGAUAACAGGCUGAUACCGCCCAAGAGUUCAUAUCGACGGCGGUGUUUGGCACCUCGAUGUCGGCUCAUCACAUCCUGGGGCUGAAGUAGGUCCCAAGGGUAUGGCUGUUCGCCAUUUAAAGUGGUACGCGAGCUGGGUUUAGAACGUCGUGAGACAGUUCGGUCCCUAUCUGCCGUGGGCGCUGGAGAACUGAGGGGGGCUGCUCCUAGUACGAGAGGACCGGAGUGGACGCAUCACUGGUGUUCGGGUUGUCAUGCCAAUGGCACUGCCCGGUAGCUAAAUGCGGAAGAGAUAAGUGCUGAAAGCAUCUAAGCACGAAACUUGCCCCGAGAUGAGUUCUCCCUGACUCCUUGA